GAUAAAAUGCCUGAUAAAAGGAUUAUUAUGAUAUAAUAAAUUAUGUAAAUAGUUGAUUUACUUUUAUCU
rnacentral:tRNA from 1 species